AGAGUUUGAUCAUGGCUCAGAUUGAACGCUGGCGGCAUGCCUUACACAUGCAAGUCGAACGGCAGCACGGGGGCAACCCUGGUGGCGAGUGGCGAACGGGUGAGUAAUACAUCGGAACGUGUCCUGUAGUGGGGGAUAGCCCGGCGAAAGCCGGAUUAAUACCGCAUACGAUCUGUGGAUGAAAGCGGGGGAUCCUUCGGGACCUCGCGCUACAGGGGCGGCCGAUGGCAGAUUAGCUAGUUGGUGGGGUAAAGGCCUACCAAGGCGACGAUCUGUAGCUGGUCUGAGAGGACGACCAGCCACACUGGGACUGAGACACGGCCCAGACUCCUACGGGAGGCAGCAGUGGGGAAUUUUGGACAAUGGGCGAAAGCCUGAUCCAGCAAUGCCGCGUGUGUGAAGAAGGCCUUCGGGUUGUAAAGCACUUUUGUCCGGAAAGAAAACCUCGUGGUUAAUACCCGUGGGGGAUGACGGUACCGGAAGAAUAAGCACCGGCUAACUACGUGCCAGCAGCCGCGGUAAUACGUAGGGUGCAAGCGUUAAUCGGAAUUACUGGGCGUAAAGCGUGCGCAGGCGGUCCGCUAAGACAGAUGUGAAAUCCCCGGGCUUAACCUGGGAACUGCAUUUGUGACUGGCGGGCUAGAGUAUGGCAGAGGGGGGUAGAAUUCCACGUGUAGCAGUGAAAUGCGUAGAGAUGUGGAGGAAUACCGAUGGCGAAGGCAGCCCCCUGGGCCAAUACUGACGCUCAUGCACGAAAGCGUGGGGAGCAAACAGGAUUAGAUACCCUGGUAGUCCACGCCCUAAACGAUGUCAACUAGUUGUUGGGGAUUCAUUUCCUUAGUAACGUAGCUAACGCGUGAAGUUGACCGCCUGGGGAGUACGGUCGCAAGAUUAAAACUCAAAGGAAUUGACGG
rnacentral:rRNA from 1 species